rnacentral:rRNA from 1 species
CGUGUAGGCGGUUUGCAAGUCAGAUGUGAAAUUCCCAGGCUUAACCUGGGCGCUGCAUCUGAAACUGCAAGACUUGAGUACUGGAGAGGAUAGUGGAAUUCCUAGUGUAGCGGUAAAAUGCGCAGAUAUUAGGAGGAACACCGGUGGCGAAGGCGACUAUCUGGACAGUAACUGACGCUGAGGCGCGGAAGCGUGGGGAGCAAACAG